CUUUUCUUUUUUGUCAGUCUAAGGAUCAGCAAACAAACAGAAUAUCAUAUUGCACGAGUAAUUCACAUGGGCAAAGGACUACACAUUCAGCAUAGGAAAAUGAGAAAUCAGUGCUGCCUCAGCACGUUCUGCAGCCUGGUUGAACAGCAUUGGAGGAGUGACAAAGGAAAGCCAACAGCAGGAAACAGGAACGAGAGAGAAUGAGACAGAGAGAGAAAAGGAAGAAGGAAGGACUUGAAAGAUUUGCGGCAGAGGAUCAGUCCUUCCUGAUGAGACAGGCCAGAAUGCUUGCACAUGUGGAGAUGCUGGGGAAGGGACGGGCUCAUGGAACUGAGGCAGUGGCUAGCCUGAGCCCAGACCAGAUCUGAAAAUAUCAAGGCAUUUCUUCCAACACAGCAACCUUCUCAAUCUAAAGGAACAUAGAAAAUCAAUAAACAGACAUUAUAUGAGCAAUAUCCAGCUGCUUAGUUAAAUUUAAAAUAAAUCAGCAACAUGAAUGUACUAACUACUUAAAAGCUUUGUGAAACAUGUUUCCAGAAGUUCAAGAAUUAGAACCAAAGUACAAAUGAAAAGCAAAAAAGGACAGCAUGGCUCAACGUAAAUAAAUGUAUAAAAAUAAAAUGGUUACAUGCGCUUUGGAGAGAUGUGUUGUUUCUGUAGCUGCCACUCAUUUACUAAAAAUCUGAUAGAAGCACUGCUUUUAACACUUGCUAAAUAAAAUCAUUCAGGCAAGUUCUGAUCUUUUAAAAAUAUAGUUCUUCUUGCAAAGAGAAUGUUCAUUUACUUCUUUCAACCAUUUGAAGUCUUUUCAUUCUAUUUAGAGUGCAGAAAAUUACUACAAAUGCUUACUGUAUCUGUAGGUUGUUAAAAACAAUGAAUCAAUAAAGAGCACUUUUUUUUUCUCUCU